GGUGCUCAUAAAGGGUCAGCAGGUGCUCAGGGCCAGCGGUGGGUGCUGCAGUGUCAGGACAUUCUCGUGGUGGCCAAGCUUGGGGCCGCUGCUGCCCCCUGCCAGCUGGGGUAGAAUGGGACUGUCCCCUGGGGGUGGCCCUGAGCCAGGGCGGGAGCCUUCCCGCCCCUCCUCUCUCAGGACCACCCGGCCUCUGCCGGGACCUUGGCUGCCCUCCGGCCCAUUCAGAGGAGAAUCGGGCUCCAAGGGACGAGCGGGUGAGGCCUGGGGACAUGGGGCAGGGUGGGCCGGCCAGGCUGGGAGGCGGUGAGCAGAGGCCAACCGGAAGGAAGGGCCCUCAGUGGCGUUGGCCCCUGGAAAAACGGGGCGGGGCCUGGCCGCCGGGCUGAUAGGAGCCAGAUAAGCUGUUUGCACAGGAGGUUUUUCCUUCCUUUAUCACACGUCCUGCCUCCAGCCCGCCCUCCAGGACGAGGCCGGGCCGGAGAUCCAGGGACCCCCACCCCACCCCAGUUCCCAGGCCUCGGGGUCCCCCUGGGCCCCAGGCCCAGGCGUGAUGGGGCUCUCUCCCCACCGAGCAGGUGGGGGGCUGAGGCCCGGAGACCCAGAGCCUUUUGCCUUUUUUUUUUUUUUUUUGAAGCUUUUUGAGAAGGUGGGAGAGACAGUGAGUCCUCACCCCUGGAGGCACCCGGGAGCCGCCGUGCACAGGCUGCCGUGGGGCCCCUGCGGGUCCCCAGUGGGCAGCUGGGCCCCACCUGCCCUGCUGCCUAUUCCCAGGCGGUCCCAGCGCCACAUUAGCCGGGGCCAGGGUUCAGCCCGAUAAAGACCGGCUGUUGUUCUGUGUCAAAAAAUCAAUAAUCCCCAGCGAUGCCCUGCGAUAGGAGGAGACAUUCACAGGAACCAGCUGGCGGGGGCGGGGCGGGGACCGUGGCACCUGGGGGCCACCCGCCCUGCCCAGCGCUCCCCCAGCUGGCGGGGGACAGGCCGGGGGACCGCACGAGGUGACCUCGGCCUUUCUUUGCCUGCCCCCCCCCGCCACCUCUUUGUCGAUGGGCCCCUGGAGCCCGUGGGGAAGCCCUGGGCCUCUGUGCGUCCCUGGGGCCAGAGGAGGGCGCCUCCCGCCCAGGCGGCGAGAGCAGAACAGGGAGGAGGGCGCCCUCCCCGGGCCGGCAGGACCAGCUGCCCCUUCUCCCAGGCCUGUGGCUCGGCGGCGGGACCAGGUGUCCAGCCCCAGAUCCUCCUCCCGACCGCGUGCCCCAGACAGGCUCGAACCCCACUGGGCCCAGGUGCUCUUAGAACUUAGCUGUCAGGGACCCCGGCCCAAGGGGCCGACCUUGCAGUGGAGAGGCCGAGAGCUAAGCCAGUGCACACCCGCUCCACCGUGCCGCGCGGGGAGCGCGGGGACCGCAGGUGCCCCCUCUCCCCACCCCCACCCUCGCACGCGUGAGGAGACCCAGGAACACAGAGAUGGCCAUUCAGGGCGUCCAGGGUCGCGGCCCCUGGAGGGCCCUCCCCGGCCUAGGCCCUGUGGCGGGCACCCACUAGCCCGUGUUGGAGCCGCCGCACUGCCAUCCUGCCAGCCCCCUCUGCCGUCGGUUCCCAGCAAAGCCACCUGCUCGCUGACUCCACCCCGCGCCCGUGACGUGGCUCCCAGGCAGGGCUUGUGGGGGUGGGGAGCCUGAGAGGGCAGCAGGUGCAGGGGGCAGGUGUGUCCCAGCCCCAGGGAGGCCUUGAGAGGGGUUCUGGGGAUCCUCCAGCCCAGCCCCUGCCACGGGCCACUGUGAAGGCAGGGGCUGCGGGAAACUCCUUAGGAAGGAGGGUUUAGGCUUGAAGCCCUUUGAAAACCCCUGACCGUGAAUGAGAAGGCCGUCCCCUCCUAGGAGGCUCAGGCUCUGCGAACCCCGCCCCGCCUGGACCUGGGGGCCUGUAUGCGGGCGGGGCCAGCAGGAGCCACACUGGGCAGUGGGCGCCAGGGCCGGCAGAGAAGCUGCAGCUACCUCGUGGGCCAUCCGGGGCUGCUGUGCCACAGCUCCCAGGGGCAUCCCCCUCUCCGACUUUGCUGUCGAUGAAUUGGCCUCCGUCUUGGUCACAGCCACAGCUCCAGGGCCAGGCACUCAGUGGAACGAACUACACAGCAGCGGUCGAGGGGCGCUCGGGCCCGUGGCUGGCCCCCAGAAUGGGCGCGGGGUGGGCAUGUCGUCUCGGGGAGAGGUGUUUGCUGUCCGAGGGGCAGCAGCCUGGGUGGGCCUCCAAUGGGUUGCGGUCUGGUGGGAACCAUGGCCUGGCUUAGCCAAGCUGUCCAGUUUUCCCCGCGAGCCCUGAGACCCCAGAUUGUAUGUGAAAUCUGAUUUUUUUUGUUGUUGUUUUUGGGGUGUUUUGUUUUGCUUUUUAAGGCCACAGCCGCAGCAUAUGGAGAUUCCCAGGCUAGGGGUCGAAUCGGAGCUACAGCUGCUGGCCUACACCACAGAUCAGAUCCGAGCCGUGUCUGUGACCCACACCGCAGCUCACAGCAACGCUGGGUCUUUAACCCACUGAGCAAGGAGGCCAGGGAUCGAACCAUCAUGCUUCCUAGUUGGAUUUGUUUCCACUGCGCCACAACGGGACCUCCGAAAUCUGAUUUUUAAAGCAUGAGAUUUGGUUCUCAGCUCGAAGUUCCCCGGGCCCUGGGGAGCCGCUGAUCCUCCAGGCGCUCGUGGCCCUGCCCUGUGCCAGCGCUCAUGCCCACCUCCUCCCUCGCCUGUCUUCGCUGGACGCACACGUGAGGCUCUUGUCCCACCCUGGCCGUGCCACCUGCUGUGGGUCUGGGCCUGGCAUCAGGAUUGUUUCCUGCCCCCUUAGCCUCGUUGCUGCCCCCUUGGAUGGGGAUAGGACUGCUUCGGGCCAGAGUGCUCCCGCCCCGCGACGUGCCGGAUGUGCUGCGAGGAGGUGCCCUGCCUGGGUUGGGCUCGAGGGGUCUGGGCUCCCGUGUCGUGUGCUACCUGCUGGCUGUGUGACCUCGUCAAGACUUGCUUUUCUUAACAGGCAGAGAGUGGGGGGAAUGGACCCCACCAGUUUCUGCCCCAAACUCCUUAGCCAGGUCCCCAUGAUUUGCAGAAGGGAGCGCAGGCCUAAGAUGGGUCAGGGAGUCUGAGCCUGUCUAAAGGUGCUGUGGCUGCUGGUGACAGCCAGGCUUAUGAUCAAGCUCCGCCCGUUUUUGUUUUCUGAUGGAGCAUUCAGGUGUGGCCUGAUCCAGAAGUCCUGCUGGCUGGUCAGUGCCUGGGGGCCCUGGGUCUUCCGGUGUAUGGGUACGUCUGCCUUCUGCUCUGCAGGGCGGGACAGCUCAGAGAAUGGUGUCAAGCCAUCAGCAGCCUGGGUGGGAGUCUCACUGCUGCUCGGGUCUGGGGAUACAGCCCCAGUGGAAGAGCCACGCGGCUUCAGCCCUAUGGAGGCCUCCUGCAGAGCGACUGCUCCCUCCUGGGCACGUGAACCUUGCCGGUUCACCCAGGCACAGCCCACAAGCCCUUCUCACCCCCAGGAGCUGGGUCUGCCCCCUCGCCUGUCCCAAUCCCAUGUCGGGACUCCGAACCAGACCCUGGGCCUCUGGGCUGUGCUGACUCAUCUGUAAACGGGGAGCAAAAACGGGCCAACAGGCCCGGGCCCAGAAGUGGGGGUGUCCACGAUGCUGGUGGGAAUUGGCCGUGCCCCAGCCCUUUCUCCCUGGGCCUGAUUCGCCCCCUCCAGCCAGAACACGAGGGUGAGCAGGGCCUCAGCAUCCACGCGGACAGCCCCGCUCCGGAGGCUCCAGGCCUCGGGGCGGAAGGGAGGGUGACCGCCACGGGCCCUGUGUACAGAUGGGCCCCCACAGUCUCGGGGUGCCCAUCCCACCCGGUCCAGCUCUCGACUCACUUGAAGAACACGGUCCAGGAGGAGGCUGGCUGUGCCUAAACACGGCCCCUGUCUGCUGCAUCCGCGUGAUGAGGGCUCUGCCCAGCCCACGGGUGGCACACGCCCCAGCAUGCCAGGGCCACUCAGCCGGCGGCUGGUGGUGGCUGCGGCCGUGUCCCGCUGUCGUGGCACUUGCCACGAAGGCAAGGACUGGUAGUCACGUGGCACCACACCUGGGUGGCUGGAAGCCCCGUCGGCAUGGAGAGCGGCCACUGCCCCAGGCCCAGAGGGGCUGAGAGCCUGGCCAGAAUCGUGCAGGGGCCACAACCCGGCCCAGCCAGACCCCCACUGGCUGCCCUCAGUCUGGGAGCGCUCCCUCUGCCGGGCCCUGGCCUCAGGCGCCACACCUGUCUGUCAUCUGCCCUUGUGGUGACCUAGGAGGCAGGAAGGGAUGCACCUGUGUCCUGGAGCCUCAGGGGUUGACAAGUCAGGCAUCACCCGCUGGUGUCUCGGUCCCCAAAGGGAAGGGCUGCUCAGCCUGAAGCCGCAGGACAGCCGGACCCUGGCCCCUUGUAUCACUCCGUCUCCCGGGGGUCUCAGUGCCACCCACUCAGCAGGGUCAAGUUGAGUGAGGGCAGGAAAAGGACUGACCUUGAGAGCUGGUGACCAUGGGCAGGUCCUGCCACCCUCAGUUCCAGAUCGCAGGGGACAAGGUGAGGUGUGUCUGUGGUGGGAGGGGCCAGGCCAGCAUCUGAAUAAGCGGGCCAAGGGGGCAGAGAGGCCAGCUCGCCCAGCCAGCACCCAUGGCCCCGUCUGCUGUGUGACCUUGAGAGAGACGCUUGCCCUCUCUGGGCCUGGUUUCCACGUUGGUGCAGGGCAUGCUGGAUGCACACUCAGGGCUCCCAGCCUCCCCCACUCUGGGCCCAGGCCCUCAGAGACUUCUGGAACCUGCCGGGGCGGGGCCUGCUCACCCCUGCACUUUCUUCCUCUCCCUCUUGGCGCCUCUUUCUCUCCCUUUUUUUGACUUUUAUCAAAGGCAAACAGUGGGAUCCCUGAGAUAGGGCCACUCCCACCAAAGACAGGGCAGCCCCCAGGGAGCCACAGGGCAGGGCCAGCCAGAGUGAUGAGACUGAUUAGAUAAGUGGGUGCUGGCAGUGGCCCCAGAGUGGGCACCUACACACCGAUCCCAGAGCCCACCGGUGGGGGCGAGGACUGCCGGGUGGCUGACCUUUGUACUCUGGAGGCCACUGGCCAUGAGCACAGAGCCUGGAAGGAGAGGCCGGCCAGCAGGAGGCGCCCCAAGCUCCUCCAGCAAUGGGCAGGUGGCCAGCCAGCCGGCCAGGGCCUGUUGCUUGGUGGGGCAGAGACCUGGGGAGGCUGCACGUGGUGGAACCCAGAGCCAGGUGGUCUGGUUGGGGCCCUGAAUUCUCCAUCAGAAAGGAGCUUCAGGAGUUCCUGUCGUGGCUCAGUGGUUAACGAAUCCAACCAGGAACCAUGAGGUCGCGGGUGCACUCAGUGGGUUAAGGAUCCGGCGUCACCGUGAGCUGCGGUGUAGGUUGCAGAUGCAGCUUGGGUCUUCUGUUGCUGUGGCUGUGGUGUAGGCCAGCGGCCACAGCUCCGAUUGGACCCCUAGCCUGGGAACCUCUGUACACCGCGGGUGCAGCCCUUGAAAAGGC
rnacentral:lncRNA from 1 species